rnacentral:rRNA from 1 species
GACGAACGCUGGCGGCGUGCUUAACACAUGCAAGUCGAACGGAAAGGCCCUGCUUGCAGGGUACUCGAGAGGCGAACGGGUGAGUAACACGUGGGUGAUCUGCCCUUCACAUCGGGAUAAGCCUGGGAAACUGGGUCUAAUACCGGAUAGGAGACAAUAUUAGUGUUAUGGUUGGAAAGAUUUUUCGGUGUAGGAUGAGCUCGCGGCCUAUCAGCUUGUUGGUGGGGUAAUGGCCUACCAAGGCGGCGACGGGUAGCCGGCCUGAGAGGGUGGACGGCCACAUUGGGACUGAGAUACGGCCCAGACUCCUACGGGAGGCAGCAGUGGGGAAUAUUGCACAAUGGGCGCAAGCCUGAUGCAGCGACGCCGCGUGGGUGAUGACGGCCUUCGGGUUGUAAACUCCUUUCGCUAGGGACGAAGCUUUUUGUGACGGUACCUAGAUAAGAAGCACCGGCUAACUACGUG